rnacentral:rRNA from 1 species
GUCGAGCGAACUGAUUAGAAGCUUGCUUCUAUGACGUUAGCGGCGGACUAGGUGAGUAACACGUGGGCAACCUGCCUGUAAGACUGGGAUAACUUCGGGAAACCGAAGCUAAUACCGGAUAGGAUCUUCUCCUUCAUGGGAGAUGAUUGAAAGAUGGUUUCGGCUAUCACUUACAGAUGGGCCCGCGGUGCAUUAGCUAGUUGGUGAGGUAACGGCUCACCAAGGCAACGAUGCAUAGCCGACCUGAGAGGGUGAUCGGCCACACUGGGACUGAGACACGGCCCAGACUCCUACGGGAGGCAGCAGUAGGGAAUCUUCCGCAAUGGACGAAAGUCUGACGGAGCAACGCCGCGUGAGUGAUGAAGGCUUUCGGGUCGUAAAACUCUGUUGUUAGGGAAGAACAAGUACGAGAGUAACUGCUCGUACCUUGACGGUACCUAACCAGAAAGCCACGGCUAACUACGUGCCAGCAGCCGCGGUAAUACGUAGGUGGCAAGCGUUAUCCGGAAUUAUUGGGCGUAAAGCGCGCGCAGGCGGUUUCUUAAGUCUGAUGUGAAAGCCCACGGCUCAACCGUGGAGGGUCAUUGGAAACUGGGGAACUUGAGUGCAGAAGAGAAAAGCGGAAUUCCACGUGUAGCGGUGAAAUGCGUAGAGAUGUGGAGGACACCAGUGGCGAACGCGGCUUUUUGGUCUGUAACU